rfam:Flavobacterium succinicans strain DD5b FLB_contig000017, whole genome shotgun sequence.
CUUUAGCCCCGGCAGUAGCGGCAUCCUUUUUCUUUUUUCUUUAAAAAGAAAAAGAUAUAGCGGAUGACGGGACGUUGC